CCUACGGGGGGCCGCAGUGGGGAAUAUUGGACAAUGGGCGAAAGCCUGAUCCAGCCAUGCCGCGUGUGUGAAGAAGGCCUUCGGGUUGUAAAGCACUUUCAGUGGGGAAGAAAGCCUUGGGGCUAAUACCCUCGAGGAAGGACAUCACCCACAGAAGAAGCACCGGCUAACUCCGUGCCAGCAGCCGCGGUAAUACGGAGGGUGCGAGCGUUAAUCGGAAUUACUGGGCGUAAAGCGCGCGUAGGCGGUCUGAUAAGCCGGUUGUGAAAGCCCCGGGCUCAACCUGGGAACGGCAUCCGGAACUGUCAGGCUAGAGUGCAGGAGAGGAAGGUAGAAUUCCCGGUGUAGCGGUGAAAUGCGUAGAGAUCGGGAGGAAUACCAGUGGCGAAGGCGGCCUUCUGGACUGACACUGACGCUGAGGUGCGAAAGCGUGGGUAGCAAACAGGAUUAGAUACCCUGUAGUC
rnacentral:rRNA from 1 species